rnacentral:rRNA from 1 species
AACGAACGCUGGCGGCGUGCCUAACACAUGCAAGUCGCGCGAGAAAAGGGGGGCAACUCCCUGAGUAAAGCGGCGCACGGGUGAGUAACACGUAGGUAACCUACCCUCGAGUCCAGGAUAACCUACCGAAAGGUGGGCUAAUACCGGAUAUGACCACGGAGGUCUCGGCCUCUGCGGUGAAAGGUGGCCUCUGCUUGCAAGCUACCGCUCAUGGAUGGGCCUGCGCGCCAUUAGCUAGUUGGUGAGGUAACGGCUCACCAAGGCGAUGAUGGCUAGCUGGUCUGAGGGGAUGGCCAGCCACACUGGGACUGAAACACGGCCCAGACUCCUACGGGAGGCAGCAGUGGGGGAUAUUGCGCAAUGGGCGAAAGCCUGACGCAGCGACGCCGCGUGGGUGAUGAAGGCCUUCGGGUCGUAAAGCCCUGUCGAGGGGAAAGAAACGGUUCCGACCCAACACGUCGGAACCCUGACGGUACCCCUAAAGGAAGCACCGGCUAACUCCGUGC